GAGGGGCGGUUCAACCAACAAGAACUGCUAAUUCUUGUAUCUGAG
rnacentral:tRNA from 1 species